AUUAAGGUAGUUUAAUUAAAAAUUUUAGUUUGUGGUGCUGAUAAUGAAAAGUAGUUUUCCCUUGAUA
rnacentral:tRNA from 1 species